rnacentral:misc_RNA from 1 species
ACGCACGAUUACGACGUGAAGAUGCGCAACGUUUUCAAAUUUCUAGAGAACGGCGACAAGGUGAAGGUCACGCUCCGGUUCCGUGGACGCGAGAUGGCGCACCAGAACCUCGGCCGCGAAUUGCUCGAACGCGUCGCCGAGGACACCAAGGAGAUCGGAAAGGUCGAGAAUUUCCCGAAGAUGGAAGGCCGCCAGAUGGUCAUGAUGAUCGGCCCGUCGGCCCGCUGAGCGCCGAUCUCUGAUCGCAUGCCGGCAACGGGCGUCCUCGGGCGCCCGUUUUUCUUUGGCCUUUCGACGAAAAAGGCGACGCA